rnacentral:lncRNA from 10 species
UGAGAAGACUUCUCUCAAAAGAAAGUCUAGAAUUCUAUGGUUGUGAAAAGUUGUGACUGGAAAGCUUGGCAAAUAAGUCUGCUGCGAGACAAAGUCUUGCUCACCCAGGCUGGAGUGCAGUGGCAUGAUCAUAGUUCACUGCAGCCUUGAUCUCCUGGGCUCAAGUGAUUCUCCCAUCUCAGCCUCCCGGUAGUUAGGACUAUAGGCAUAAACCACCAUGCCCAGCUAAGUAAAAACAAACAAACAAAAAAACAAAACAACAACAACAACAACAACAAAAACCUUUUUGUAGAGAUUGGUCUCAAUAUAUUGCCCAGGCUAGUCUCCAAAGAUCCUCAAGCAAUAUUGCCACCUUGGCCUUCUGAAGUGCUGGAAUUACAGGCAUGAACCACCUUACCCAGCCACAAUGAAACAUUAGUUGCAAAGGUAUGUUAUAAUGUUGAAUAAAUAAUUCACCAUUAGUACAAAAUAGUAUGAUACUCAGGUUAUGUUCAAAAAAUGUCCUAGCAUGUGAACAGUUGUAAUAAAUUACUGAUUUCUUGAACUGCAAGGACUAUAAUAUCUUCUUAGAAAUGUAUUCUGGGUUAAAAAAUAAUAAUCUGCAUAAUAUCUGAAACCUAUAGUAUCUUUGGCAAAGAGAGAGGCAACUGAUUUUUUUUUAUUUGAUGAUGGUUUUAUUUUCAAAGCUAUAAUUAAAUGAGAUAAAAAUAUACAGUUGAAGUGCCAAAGCAACUUAAACAUAAAUAACAGCUGCUCCUCAUCUGAGAAUUUCAUUUAUAUAUACAACUUUUGUUAUGCCCUUAAAGAUUUUUAACCAGUAUACAGCUAAUUCAGCAUCCAUUAUCCCAAGAUAUGCUUUAUACUCAAAGAGGAUAGAAAAGAGAAGAGAAGCAUUUCCUGGCAUCCAUGCUCUACAGAUAAAUUUUGCUUUAAAAGCAAAUAGGAGACUCUUCACUAUGUACAAAGUUUCAGGUUUUUGAACCAAUAAAGUAGGAUUGAUGACUCAUUAAAAAAAUCCCAGUCAUGGCUGGAUUCAUUGCUCCUAAGAAACUGGACAUGAUUUGCAUUAUAGCUAUUUUAGGGAAAUCAAAGCUAUGAGAAGUAACAGGUUUGUUUAAUCACUAGUGCAACUGAUAUUUUUUUUGUGAUACUAGUCAAAAGCAGUGGCAUUGGUGAAGGAGGAAAAGAGGGUAGUAGUGGAAUUCCCCCACUGUUUGUGGAAAGGCAGCCAGAGCUGAGAGGGCUUUAGGGAUGUUGAAAAGACACUGCAGAUGACAAAGUGGCUGCUAGUGGGUGAAAAAACAACUUCAGCUAAGAGAUAGUGUACUAAGUGUUCUUUUUAUCUUUAUUAUCUGGUGUCUCCUAAAAUAACUCCCCAUUAACUGAAAUAAUCUCAUCAUGCAUGUUUCUUGAAAAUUUAAACUGAGUAACCCACACAAACAUGAUGAUCCCCAGUAUAUGUAUUCUGUUUUAUAAGUUUGCCUGCCAAAAUCAUAAUGUAAACAAGCUAUGUGUGAACAGGAAUUAUUAUAAGGAUACUGAAAGGUACAAUUUAUUUAGAAUAAAGUACAAUUUAUUUAGAAUAAAGUACAAUUUAUUUAGAAUAUCUCAGUGUUUGGAGAGAUGGAAAAGAUGAGAAAAUGGCAAGAAAGAUCACUUCAAAACCCAUUGAUAAGUUUUAGAAAUGAAAUUACUGUUUGGUUUAUGAAAAAUAAAAGGUUUUAAGCUUUUUUAAAAGAAACAUUCUACCAAUAAACAAGCCAUGAAAAUCUUU